rnacentral:tRNA from 1 species
AGCUCUGGGGUGUAACAUAUUAGAUUGCAAAUCUAAAGAAGCAGGCUAACGUCUGCCGGGGCUU